AUAAAUAUACAAUUGCAGCUGCUUAGCUAAAAAAUGUUAAUCGGAAGAAGCAAAAGUGGAUGGCGUGGUGCCAGUAAGAUGGCAUGGAUAUGAUCUAGUCUCAAUUAAGUUAGUCGCAGACUGUUUACCUGUUCCAAUCUAAUCUAGUGGAUUCAAAAAGAAGGGACCGCGCUGGAAACAUGAGUGGAUUAGAAGGAUCAGCCUUUUUUGAAUUAAUAGUUGAAGUGGUAACCAGCUAGAAGUCGUAACCUGCUCGUAUGAAAGGUGAAAUUGUUAAUUUUAUUCAGCAACGCCAAGAAACAGAGCUCGCUCAAGAAACAGAAAAGAAAGAGAAAAAUGAAAAUAUAUUCUGUUGAAC